AAACUCUGGAGAGCUACCAUCUUCGUCCGAAACGGUCUAAAGGUGAAGGUGGAUCAGGGCAUGGCUCACAGGAACUAUUGUCAACUUGACUUGACAAAACUUGAAAAGGUUGAAAAUGGCGCCAGCAGGCACAGGGCAUUGCAUAGAGCUCUCGGGUUCAAGAUUUAGCCACUGUCAUAUACCCACUGCUGUUGAACUUGAAGGCAUUACUUCCCUCCGCUCCUGUACCGGCCUGCCAGUGGCUGAACUUGGUGCAGGAUGGGUCACUGCCAUAUCGGAGAUGCCAGCUGGCCUCCCCUGUCUUCCUGGUCAUCACUCAGGGCAGGAGGAAUCCGUCAGCGCCUGGUGCCACGUGCCUCUCGUUAGAAGGCUGAGCCCAUCUACCACCCUGUCACUGCCACCUUUAUUCACCCAUUCCUUUAAAACAAAUGAAUUCCUAUGAUAUGUCCGGCAUCAUGCUGGGUGCUGCGGCGAUUACAGAGGGAAAUAAGAUAUACUGCCAGUCCUCAAGGAGUUUGCAGUCCAGUAGGGGAAAAACACAUCUAGAUCCUGUAAACUAAAAAUAAAAUCCUAAGCCCCCCCACCCCCACCCAACCAUCUAAACGGACUUCCUCCUCAGCCAGGGCAGUCUUAAAAUUUAACCUGAAAGCCUGGUUCAGGCCAUGAAGGACGUGGGGGUCGGACACGCCUGAUUAUGUUGACCUCUCCAGCGUUAACGUCAACACAGACUUUAAGAAACAUUUGACAGCCUGUUCUCCCUGAAGUCUAACAGCUAAAAGUUUCAUCUGCAUCAUCAAGCUUUGGUCUUCACAGUGUCUUAUCGCAGCCCAAACAUUCCCUUUCUAUUGAUCCCAGAUCUUCAGACAAACUCAACCAAUUGUCAACCAGAAAAUGUUUAAAUUCACCUACAGCCUGCAAGCCUCCUACUCUGAGUUGCCCCACCUUUCUGAACCAAACCAAUGUAUUUCUUAAAUGUACUUGAUCGAUGUCUCAUGCUUCCCUAAAAUGUAUGAAACCAAGCUGCGGCCGGGCGCGGUGGCUCAAGCCUGUAAUCCCAGCACUUUGGGAGGCCGAGACGGGCGGAUCACGAGGUCAGGAGAUCGAGACCAUCCUGGCUAACAUGGUGAAACCCCGUCUCUACUAAAAAAUACAAAAAACUAGCGGGCGAGGUGGCGGGCGCCUGUAGUCCCAGCUACUCGGGAGGCUGAGGCAGGAGAAUGGCGUAAACCCGGGAGGUGGAGCUUGCAGUGAGCUGAGAUCCGGCCACUGCACUCCAGCCUGGGCGGCAGAGCGAGACUCCGUCUCAAAAAAAAAAAAAAAAAGAAAAAAAAGAAACCAAGCUGCACCCCGACCACCCUGGGCACAUGUCAGGACUUCCUGAGGCUGUGUCACGGGUGUGCGUUCUCAACCUUGGCAAAAUAAAGUUUCUAAAUUAACUGAGACCUGUCUCAGAUUUUCUGGGUCUACCACCCUGCUGUACCAGAAGAGUCAGGAGACAGCCAGAGAAAGAGGUUCAGGGGGAUGAAGCACCCCCAGCAGUGCCAAGUCACCUUCUACAGCUCGACUCACUCAACCAUCCAAGACCACUUGGCUUUUUUUUUUUUUUUUUUCCUGCACAAGCUGUGCUUUGAAGUGUGUGGGGUCUUAAAAAUCCUGCCCAUUCUAUUUUGAUCAGGCUUCUGUCGUCUGCAUUGCCAUCCUGGGACAAGCUGUCAGUCACUGUCUCCCUGAAAUGCACGUGGAAAUGCACAGGCUAAUCUAGGGACAGCUGGAUACAUGACUAAUAGUAACGAGGAGCUCAUGAGAGCCUGUGAGUUGAGAUGCGGUGGAGAUGGACUGGUCGUUAGCGUUCCCCAGGUUUAUAACCUUCCUUUCUGCACCCCUCAUGCCUUCCUGUAGUUGUCAGCAUCCUGGAUUUUCCUGAUCAGGGGGCAAAGAGAAUGGGGGCUUUCCCCGGGGCUUGACGUGGCGGCUGGACC
ensembl:lncRNA